UAUUUAGCUGAUCAUAGAGCUCUCUCUCUCUCUCUCUCUCUCUCUCUCUCUCUCUCUCUCUCUCUCUCUCUGUGUGUGUGUGUGUGUGUGUGUGUAGAAAGAGAAAUUUCAUCAGAUUAAUGCUAUUUGACAAAUGGGUUUUGAUACUCAGCGUUGGUCUAAUUUCAUUCAAUCCACGGCUGUGAUGUACGAAUGGCUCAGAACAAGAAUUUGUAAUGGAAAAUAAACCCACCAAUUAUAUUGGCUGCGCUAUUUCUCGAAAAACUACAUAAAACAAAUGGUUGUGCAUGAUUUAUAAAUGGGUUACAAUAGUUGGAGAAGAUCUGAAUGUAAACACAGGGGACUUUCUCCCUGACUGGUUCUACUGACUGAGAAGAGGCUCUGGGACAGCCUGAAGGAAGUUCGAUUCCCAGUUCUACUGCUUCUGUUCAGAGCUUAACUGUCUGUCUAGGUUGUAUGUUGAAGGCACGGUUAUCAGCCUAGACACUAUUGCAGGAUGUUGUAACCUUUAAGAGGUGAAUCUAGAAGACAGGGCAUCAGGGGGGCACACCCUAGAAGGGGAUAUUUAGUCCUCAGCCCUGUUUUCUAUGAUUCCUGACCACUUGCUGUUGAGCACUUUCCCUCACACUCAUUACAGAGGCAUUUUGCAUCAGAAUAGAUACAAAGACAAUGGGGCAAGAGACCCUAAGCUGAAAUCUGAAACCCAGAGCCAAAGUCCUUCCUCCUUGGAAGUCCUUUUUUCUCAGGCAUUUUAAUAAGUGAGAGAAAACUAACAUACCUACCAAUUACCUUUUCUGUGAUUUUUGGUCACACUAUUUCAAUCCUGUAUGGAUUGGAAGGAAUGGAAUUUUCUUGCCUGUAACAUGGAACUAAUGGCCUUUGGCAUAUUGUUCCUGGUGAGGUUACAGUAAAUAUUAAAGCAUCGUGCAUAACGAUAGUACACAAUUAUCGUUAAGUGAUAAGCUUUAAUAUUAUAGUAAUUUCUGCUAUUCCUGAAGCUGAUAGUUUUGGGUUUUGUAUUUAUGUAUCUUGUUGCCACCUAUCCACUUCACAUUGUGGACUCUACUCAACCUUAUGCCACUUGGAAAGACAACCAAACUAUUUGAAUAGCCAAGGAUGAAGGGUGGUAGAAAUAGCAUGGAGACUAAAUGAGAGAAAUCGCAACCUGCUUUUCUAAUAUGACAAUGGCUGCAUCUUGGAAUGUACUUUUAUUUAUUUAUUUAUUUUUCUCUACUAGGGUACCUGAAUGUUAAAGGGGUAAAAAAAGAUCUCAUUUACAGGAUAUCAUGAUGGUCCUGCAAUGAGCUACCUAGUUCUAACCUGAGCUCUACUUCACAGGUAUAUCCCUGCAAUAAAGUAAAUGUUACCUUUAUGCACAGCUUGAAGGUUCUACCCAAAGAACUCAAAGAUAGUUUCUGUAUUUGCCCAUUAACACUCUUCCAAAUGGGUACUCCUGAAAGUGACUUUCCUAUUAGCCAGUUUCCAUUUGAGGGUUGCUAAAUAAGCUCUCACAUAAUAAGACUAUAGAAACAUAACCAACAUGGUUCCCCAUGAUGGCAGCUCACUUGAAGUUUAUUUUUAUACUUUCACAGGUUUCUGUUGUUUCAUUCUUUCAUGUUUAAUGGUUAACGUAUCAGCCUGAGUCUAGGUCAUCAUUAGGUAUGGGUCAGAAGGCAGUAUUUCAGAAAUUAUUUUAUGAAAAUGUAUCGUGAAUUAUAAUGCACAUAUAGUAGAGAUUGAAAGUUCUAAGUAUAUUGAUGACUUUCUAGAAAAUAAAAUUCUGUCAUUAUCACUUCCCAUG
rnacentral:lncRNA from 1 species